GCCCUGAUGGUGUAGAGGCAACAUAUGGCCCUGUCGAGGCCAUGCCCCGGGUUCGAUUCCCGGUCAGGGCG
rnacentral:tRNA from 1 species